rnacentral:misc_RNA from 1 species
GAUGAAGAACGCAGCGAAAUGCGAUACGUAAUGUGAAUUGCAAAUUCAGUGAAUCAUCGAGUCUUUGAACGCACAUUGCGCCCCCUGGUAUUCCGGGGGGCAUGCCUGUCCGAGCGUCAUUGCUGCCCUCAAGCACGGCUUGUGUGUUGGGCCCCGUCCUCCGAUCCCGGGGGACGGGCCCGAAAGGCAGCGGCGGCACCGCGUCCGGUCCUCGAGCGUAUGGGGCUUUGUCACCCGCUCUGUAGGCCCGGCCGGCGCUUGCCGAUCAACCCAAAUUUUUAUCCAGGUUGACCACGGAUCAGGUAGGGAUACCCGCUGAACUUAAGCAUAUCAAUAAGCGGAGGA